GGAUGACCGCUGGCGGCGUGCCUAAUACAUGCAAGUCGAGCGAACGGACGAGAAGCUUGCUUUUCUGAUGUUAGCGGCGGACGGGUGAGUAACACGUGGAUAACCUACCUAUAAGACUGGGAUAACUUCGGGAAACCGGAGCUAAUACCGGAUAAUAUUUUGAACCGCAUGGUUCAAAAGUGAAAGACGGUCUUGCUGUCACUUAUAGAUGGAUCCGCGCUGCAUUAGCUAGUUGGUAAGGUAACGGCUUACCAAGGCGACGAUGCAUAGCCGACCUGAGAGGGUGAUCGGCCACACUGGAACUGAGACACGGUCCAGACUCCUACGGGAGGCAGCAGUAGGGAAUCUUCCGCAAUGGGCGAAAGCCUGAUGGAGCAACGCCGCGUGAGUGAUGAAGGUCUUCGGAUCGUAAAACUCUGUUAUUAGGGAAGAACAUAUGUGUAAGUAACUGUGCACAUCUUGACGGUACCUAAUCAGAAAGCCACGGCUAACUACGUG
rnacentral:rRNA from 1 species